AUUGAACGCUGGCGGCAGGCCUAACACAUGCAAGUCGAGCGGAUGAAGGGAGCUUGCUCCUGGAUUCAGCGGCGGACGGGUGAGUAAUGCCUAGGAAUCUGCCUGGUAGUGGGGGAUAACGUCCGGAAACGGGCGCUAAUACCGCAUACGUCCUGAGGGAGAAAGUGGGGGAUCUUCGGACCUCACGCUAUCAGAUGAGCCUAGGUCGGAUUAGCUAGUUGGUGGGGUAAAGGCCUACCAAGGCGACGAUCCGUAACUGGUCUGAGAGGAUGAUCAGUCACACUGGAACUGAGACACGGUCCAGACUCCUACGGCAGGCAGCAGUGGGGAAUAUUGGACAAUGGGCGAAAGCCUGAUCCAGCCAUGCCGCGUGUGUGAAGAAGGUCUUCGGAUUGUAAAGCACUUUAAGUUGGGAGGAAGGGCAGUAAGUUAAUACCUCGCUGUUUUGACGUUACCAACAGAAUAAGCACCGGCUAACUUCGUG
rnacentral:rRNA from 1 species